GCUCGUAGGCGGUCUGUUGCGUCCGCUGUGAAAACUCGGGGCUUAACCCCGAGCCUGCAGUGGAUACGGGCAGACUAGAGGUAGGUAGGGGAGAAUGGAAUUCCUGGUGUAGCGGUGAAAUGCGCAGAUAUCAGGAGGAACACCGGUGGCGAAGGCGGUUCUCUGGGCCUUACCUGACGCUGAGGAGCGAAAGCGUGGGGAGCGAACAGGAUUAGAUACCCUGGUAGUCCACGCUGUAAACGUUGGGCGCUAGGUGUGGGAUCCUUCCACGGAUUCCGUGCCGCAGCUAACGCAUUAAGCGCCCCGCCUGGGGAGUACGGCCGCAAGGCUAAAACUCAAAGGAAUUGACGGGGGCCCGCACAAGCGGCGGAGCAUGUUGCUUAAUUCGACGCAACGCGAAGAACCUUACCAAGGUUUGACAUGCAGGGAAAAGCCGUAGAGAUACGGUGUCCGUAAGGGUCCUGCACAGGUGGUGCAUGGCUGUCGUCAGCUUGUGUCGUGAGAUGUUGGGUUAAGUCCCGCAACGAGCGCAACCCUCGUCCUAUGUU
rnacentral:rRNA from 1 species